CGUUCAUCCAAAAUCAUUUACUGAGCAUCUACUGUAUGCCAGAGGUGGGCGAGGUCCUGGGGGUUAAAGGCAAUUAGGAUGUAACACUGCUUUUCAGAGUCUCAUAGUCUAAAGUAGUAGUUGCUUUACUAUUUUCAGUAAUGGAAAAUAACAUUUUCAAAUCAAUUCCAAGAACAGACAUAGAUACAGCUUAGGAUAUGGCUGGUUAUUGCCUAUCCAUUGAAACAGGAUAGUGCUGUAUAGGAAGAACAGAAAUCUGAAAUUAGACUAAAGCAUUGGAGUGGAGCAGGUAUUUGGGGUACACGAAUAGUUGCAGGUGCUGGGAGGAAAUCCAGCCUAGGAGGCAAAAGUGAUAUCCAGAAUCUCUGCUAGUAAGUAGGCAAACAGUCCUUUCUGAAGGGGACGACCCAGUGAUCAAUGAGAAUAUGUGGUGAGAGAGAAUUCAGCAUCAAUAAUCUCAGAUGUCCAGGCAGGUAGAUAGUUGGCAUCCAAGAAGUUUGCCAGCAAAUCUUGAAGUGACAAGGGAUGAUUUCAGAGCUGGAUUGUAGGGGAGAGUUAAUCUGGGGCAAGUGGAAAGGGAAAAGAAUGCAAAGAGUGUGGCAUGUUUCUAGUUCUAAGAGCAUUCUUAAGGUAGAUACUUAGUCAUAAUAGAACAAGGCAGAAAGCUGGUUAAGUGAACUGGGGCAUACAGACUUCUAGGGGAAGCCCACAGCUCUGCUCUUUUCUCUUCUUGCACCCCUCCACAGGUCCCUGCACUCCCUGCUUCCGUAUCUAUGUACAUAUUUUCCCCUUAGGGAGGAAUGCUGUCAGGGAUAGAUCAAGUUCAAAGGCCCUCUUUAAGUCCUAGCACUAGAAGGUGCAACUUUCAAAAGGAUUAAAAACAGAACACAGUUGGGUGUGGAAUGUCUUGUUGCUUCCAGAAUGAUAAACCAUGGGCUUGUUCAAAGUAUGUGUGGUCAUUUCUUUUUCUCUCUUCAAAUGCUUCUCUUCUCCCACAGGCCUGGCAGUAACUCCUUGGGAAUUGCUCUCCGAAUUGCUCUUUCCACCUGCUGCCCGGUCAGCCGUGAGGAGGCACCUGUCUCUCCCGUCCUCCUGUACAUCUCCUUCUGGGGGACCCGACCAAGAGAGAAGUCUGGUCAAACAGUAUUCAGAGAGAAAUAUGUAACAGCUCCAAAUACAACUCCUCAAACCUGGAAUCAGAUUAUACGUUGCCACCCUCAUUACCUCAACCCUACUGGUUUUUGUACAGUACUUGCUUUUUAUAACAGGAGCUGCUGAAAACGCAGCUUCUCAAAGGUAUGACAUCACUGAAAGAAAUUAGUGGGAUCUAAUGUUGAAAUUGUGAAUUACCUUAGCUAACAGGUUGUAUAGUGUCCUACAGAUGUUGAAUAUUACUGUAUUCCCUUCAAAAAUCUAAAAUAUAUUGCAGCCCCCUUGUGAGUUUACUGUGGUACCCAAGAGUGCCCUUUCGUAUAGUUUUGGAAAAUUCAUGUCUAAGUGUAGUUCUACACUGUUUGCCAAUGAUUGGUUCAGGGGUAGGUAUGUGGUUUAAUUUGAGCAACUAAGGCAGGAAGAAUUACUGUUUUAAAAUGUAGAUUUCAUUAUUAUUCAUGUAUUGUGAAGCCAAGGGAUCAGGAGAUGGUUGCCGUUGAAAAGAUAGUUUGAUAUUUCACAAGAUACCAGGGGGAGGGGGUACACAAUGCCAUAGGGGACCACAUGGGGGAAGCACCAGGUUCCGUCAGGAGGUAGAGGGAAUGAGGGGAAAAUGUGAGUAAGAGCCCUUAUUGUGGUUUCUGUGGGAAGGAACAGGCAAAGCAGAGAAAGUUUAGGAUUGGCUAGUUUGAAUAAUUUUGGCAGGCUCCGUGGCAUAGUUCCUGUCCCUUAGCUCUCUGGUACCUGUCCCUGAGGUGGUUAGGACAGGGCAAUAAUGGCCCUGAGUGUGAGAGCUCAGCAGAAGAGGUGACUGGAGUCUUAGCUCUGGAGUGGGUGGUUUGCAUAUGAAAGGCAUACUUGCAGGCCAAGUCAUUUGCUAUCUCCAGGAAUUGGCUAGCCAUCUCAGGGUCAGCAAUGCCCCAGAUGUGAAAGCAUCAGAAACACAUGGUUAACACAAUGACAAGGCAUCUGAAUGCUUUUUCCUGGUGCUUCUGAUACAGCCGUGAUAGUGCUCCCCUGUCUCUCUCUUUGGAGAUGUGAGGCUGGGAACUGAUGCCACAGUCUUGCUACCACUCUGAGGGUGAACCCGAGUCAGGAAGGCAUGUGGACAGAAGAACAUUGCAAAACAACAGAACGGAGUCGUUUGUAUUAACUUUACCCUGACCCUUGUCCAUCUUUGGACUUUCAGUUAUAUGAACCAAAACAUUUUCUUAUUGUUUAAGUCAAUUUAUUGUUGCUCUUUGUUCUUGUUUUUAGAUUUCCUAUUACUUUCAGCUGUGCUGUUCUAACAUUUACAAAACCAGUGUGAAAACCCACAGGAACUAUUUGGAAAGGAUUAAUUUUCUACAGGAAAGGAGACAUUUUCCAAGUCUGCUUUUGAUAAUAUUAAGAUGUGUUACAGAGGUUUGCUGAGCGUUUGCCCUCAUAGAAUAAACGGAGAAUACAAGGCUUUUGGUUGCA
rnacentral:lncRNA from 1 species